CAAGCUACUACGGGCGCGUGGUGGAUGCCUAGGUGCUGGAAGCCGAAGAAGGACGUGGCGAGACUGCGAUAAGCCUCGGUUAGCUGUCUAGCAAGCUCAGCCGGGGAUCUCCGAAUGGGGCAACCCGCCUCGAUGAAUAAUCGGGGCACCCCCGCCUGAUGCGGGGGAGGGAACCGGGGGAACUGAAACAUCUAAGUACCCCGAGGAAAAGAGACUAUUCCCUUAGUAGCGGCGAGCGAACGGGGAACAGCUCAAACCGUCAGGGAAGGUAACGGCUCACGGGCCAAUGCCCUGACGGGGUUGUAAGACACAGGCGGGCCAAGCCGUGACGCGGCCGGGAAGUUACCAAACCCUGCUCUAGCAGAAGGACCCUGGAAAGGGCCGCCGUUGAGAGUGAAAGCCUCGUAUGCGAAGGGGCGAGGGUCUUCCUGACCUGUGUUCUUGAGUACCACGGGACACGGGAAAUCCCGUGGGAAGCCGGGGGGACCACCCUCCAAAGCUAAACACUUCCAGCAACCGAUAGUGCAGAAGUACCGUGAGGGAAAGGUGAAAAAGCACCCCGGGAGGGGAGUUAAAAGUCCCUGAAACCGCGUGCCUACAAACCGUCGGGGCCCCGAUUCGUCGGGGUGACGGCGUGCCUAUUGGAGAAUGAGCCGGCGAGUGAAUCUCAGUGGCGCGGUUAAGCAAGGAGACUUGCGGAGCCGCAGCGAAAGCGAGUCUGAAUAGGGCG
rnacentral:rRNA from 1 species